GCAUAUCAAUAAGCGGAGGAAAAGAAACCNANCAGGGAUUGCCCUAGUAACGGCGAGUGAAGCGGCAUCAGCUCAAAUUUGAAAUCUGGCUCUUUCAGGGUCCGAGUUGUAAUUUGCAGAGGGCGCUUUGGCGUUGGCAGCGGUCCAAGUUCCUUGGAACAGGACGUCACAGAGGGUGAGAAUCCCGUACGUGGUCGCUGGCCUUCGCCGUGUAAAGCCCCUUCGACGAGUCGAGUUGUUUGGGAAUGCAGCUCUAAAUGGGAGGUAAAUUUCUUCUAAAGCUAAAUACUGGCCAGAGACCGAUAGCGCACAAGUAGAGUGAUCGAAAGAUGAAAAGCACUUUGGAAAGAGAGUCAAAUAGCACGUGAAAUUGUUGAAAGGGAAGCGCUUGCAGCCAGACUUGCCUGUAGUUGCUCAUCCGGGCUUUUGCCCGGUGCACUCUUCUGCGGGCAGGCCAGCAUCAGUCUGGGCGGUUGGAUAAAGGCCUCUGUCAUGUACCUCCUUUCGGGGAGGCCUUAUAGGGGAGGCGUAAUGCAACCAGCCUGGACUGAGGUCCGCGCAUCUGCUAGGAUGCUGGCGUAAUGGCUGUAAGCGGCCCGUCUUGAAACACGGACCAAGGAGUCUAACAUCUAUGCGAGUGUUUGGGUGUCAAGCCCGAGCGCGUAAUGAAAGUGAACGGAGGUGGGAUCCCUUUAGGGUGCACCAUCGACCGAUCCUGAUGUCUUCGGAUGGAUUUGAGUAAGAGCAUGGCUGUUGGGACCCGAAAGAUGGUGAACUAUGCUUGAAUAGGGUGAAGCCAGAGGAAACUCUGGUGGAGGCUCGCAGCGGUUCUGACGUGCAAAUCGAUCGUCAAAUUUGGGCAUAGGGGCGAAAGACUAAUCGAACUAUCU
rnacentral:sRNA from 1 species